CCUUGUACACACCGCCCGUCACACCAUGGGAGUUGGUUUCACCCGAAGGCGCUACGCUAACCGUAAGGAGGCAGGCGACCACGGUGGGAUCAGCGACUGGGGUG
rnacentral:rRNA from 1 species